AUGGCUCAGCGCAGCCUGUCUCAGCCACCAUCGAUGGCCGUGUCUGUGGGACAGAGCACUAUACUCAACUGUACUUUGACUGGAGAAAAUUUCAGUAACUACAGAGUUCACUGGUACCAACAAAGUCCUGGAAAUACCCCACGAUUCCUUGUGAAUUUCUACGAUGAGUCAUCUCAGAAGGAUAGAGGUUCUGGGGUCCCAGAUCGUUUUUCUGCAUCCAAAGACAAUUCUAAGAAUACUGGUUAUUUAUCCAUCACUGGUGUCCAGGCAGAAGACAGUUCUGAUUAUUACUGUGCAAUAUGGGAUAAUCGUGACAAAGUAAACGCAUAUGCACAGUGA